rnacentral:rRNA from 1 species
UACGUAGGGUGCAAGCGUUGUCCGGAAUUAUUGGGCGUAAAGAGCUCGUAGGCGGCUUGUUGCGUCAGCUGUGAAAACCCGCAGCUCAACUGUGGGCUUGCAGCUGAUACGGGCAGGCUUGAGUUCGGUAGGGGAGACUGGAAUUCCAGGUGUAGCGGUGAAAUGCGUAGAUAUCUGGAGGAACACCGGUGGCGAAGGCGGCAUCCUGGACCGGCAUUGACGCUGAGGCGCGAAAGCCAGGGGAGCAAACGGG